rnacentral:rRNA from 1 species
AUUGAACGCUGGCGGCAUGCUUUACACAUGCAAGUCGAACGGCAGCGCGGGCUUCGGCCUGGCGGCGAGUGGCGAACGGGUGAGUAAUGCAUCGGAACGUGCCCAGUAGUGGGGGAUAGCCCGGCGAAAGCCGGAUUAAUACCGCAUACGACCUGAGGGUGAAAGCGGGGGACCGAAAGGCCUCGCGCUAUUGGAGCGGCCGAUGUCGGAUUAGCUAGUUGGUGGGGUAAAGGCUUACCAAGGCGACGAUCCGUAGCUGGUCUGAGAGGACGACCAGCCACACUGGGACUGAGACACGGCCCAGACUCCUACGGGAGGCAGCAGUGGGGAAUUUUGGACAAUGGGGGCAACCCUGAUCCAGCCAUGCCGCGUGCGAGAAGAAGGCCUUCGGGUUGUAAACCGCUUUUGUUCGGGAAGAAAUCCUCUGGGCUAAUACCCCGGGGGGAUGACGGUACCGGAAGAAUGAGCACCGGCUAACUACGUG